AAUCAUGUAAGUAAACCAAAAUCAUGAGUCUACUAGUGUGUGUGUCAAGACCCGGUGUCACAAGUAUGUAGGUAAUCUAGUAGAAUAUACAAAACCAUGCUAGUCUACUGUCUGAAAGGAAAUAGAAAGAAAUAAAGGCAUAAGAGAGACUCCAGCUGCUGCAGAACGGCUCAAAAAGGGCAUCUCACUGGGAAGUCUCAAGCUGGGGAAUCAAGUCUACGCGCCGGACUGGUGGCCAGAUGCACCUGCCUCAAAUCAUGUACAAUCAAGUACAGAAGUGUAGCGUGAGUACAUAAAAUAUGUACCCAGUAAAUAUCUAGUCUAACCUCGAAGAAGUAGUGACGAGAGUGGACUUCAACACUUACUAGGGCCAAUAAUAUAAUGAUGUGUGAUUCUACACAAGCAUGAUAUAUAGAACUAACAAUAAACUCAGAACAAGAAAUAACUAAACAUGUCUUCCAUCAUAUUUAAGAGCCCAAAACACUUCCUCUGUUUAAAACAAAUGAUCUCUAAAGCAGUGAAUUUAUACCAAUUAUAAAAAGGGACUUCCAGUUAUAUUAUCACACAUAGAUUCCACCGAGAACUUCGGCCCGAUCCAACAUAAAAAUAUAAAAUGUGUACUGCCGACAGUCGAACAACGCGAACCAUAGAUGCAUCUAUUAACCGGCCGAGACGAAUGGCCCGCUCCCAUGAGAGUAGUGAAAAUAGUCACCCCACUUGCGGAAUAUACUUGCGACGCGGUUAAUUAUAAAUAUAACGAAACUCUUCUCAAUUCUUUUCAAAUACUUGAAACCUUUGAAAUCUCGAAAUCCUCAAUUUACUUCCAUUCAAUGCAAAUCAACAAGUAUGUUCAGAUAACGGUGCCCACAAAGCAUGAUGUAAGCCUAGAACUACCCAGACAUAACAUGAAUAGUAGCUAUAUACGGACUCUCACACUUCGUGCCUACGUAGCCCCCACAAAUAAUCAUAUAUUAAUUCAACUCACCUAUGGGAAAAUUUCCCUCUUACAAGGUUAGAAAAGAGACUUACCUCGUCUCAAGGCCUACGUCUAAACUCAAAAAUGCGCUCAAACCCUCAAAUCGGAGCCGAACCAUCCAAAAAUAUUCAAAUAGUGUAAAAACCAGUAUGUUCAAAAGUUCAUAUUCUAACUAUUAAAGUGAUUACCCAACCCCAAAUGUAAGAUUCCUAAAACCCUCGGGCCAACGUGCCCAGAUUCCCAAAAGUUUUGAAGGAAGUUGUUGACCCCCGGGCCAACGUGCCCGGAUUCCCGAAAUUUUUGAAAGAAGUUGUUGUCCAUGACCUAAGGAACAUAAUAUAUUAUUUUUAGUAAGUUCCAUAACCAAUUUCAUGGCCAAAUCACAUUUUUAUCAAAAACCUAUGUUUUCAUCUAAACCCUUGAUUUUCACUAAUUUUUACAUGUUAAUCCACCCAUAAUCUAUGUAUUUAACUCAUGUUGUGUAGAAAUUUCUUACCUCAAAGUGCUAGGUGAAAAUCCUCUUCCAAACGCUCCAAAAAUUGCCCAAGAGGUGAAGUGAAAUGCAAUAAAUGGCCUAAGUCCCGCAUUAAAUGAGCUGGACACAGGCCUCUGAUGUCUCAUUUGCAACACCAGGUUCGUAAAUGCGAUAAAACACUCGCAAAUGCGAAGACUGGCUUUAGCUGCUUAGGUAGCAAAUGCGAUGCAGGGGCCGCAAAUGCGAUCAAUGCUGAGGUCUCAAUUGCAGAUCAGGUGUCGCAAAUGCAAACAAUGCCCCAGUCGAGCUUCUUCAAAAUUGUGAAGCUCUUCACGAGGUUCGCAUUUGCGAGACCUGCAACUGAUGCCAAGAAACACCAGAAAUCAAGUGUGUUUUCACCCCUUUCGAAUGUCCGAAACUCACCCGAGCCUUCAAGGGUCCAUACCAAUCACCCACUAAAGUCUAGAAAUAUCAUACAAACUUGCUCACGCGAUCGGAACACUAAUAUAACAUCAAAACCACGAGAUGGAUGCCAAAAUGCAUGAAUUUACUCAUGAACUCCAAAAAUUUCUAAAACACUUCCACGCAUCUGAUUCCUAUCAAAUCAACUUGGAAUGACGCUAAACUUUGCAUGCAAGUCUUAAAUGAUAUUACGGGCCUACUCCAACUAACGAAACUAGAAUCUGAACCCGAUAUCAAAAAGUCCACCCUUGGUCAAACCUUCUAAAAACUACAAGUUUCGGACUUUCGCCAAAUAACUCCAAAAUGACCUACGGGCCUCCGAAUCCACUUCUUAUCACGACCUAAACCGAUGGGCUGCGACGUGCACCCGGUACCUUACUUAACCGAGUACCAAUGUAACGUAUCUUUCUUAUUACAUCAUCAUAUACAUGUGACAUACAGGCCUAAUAGGCCAACAUAAUCAUUUAUAAACUCAAAACAUAGGUUGACAAGGCCGUACAAUCUUUUACAUACACGACAUACGUCUACAAGCCUCUAAGAGUACAUAAAUGUCAUAAAGGUCGGGAUAAAGUCCUGCUAUACCAAACAAUACACGUCUAAAUCAUACUAACCAAACAAGCAACUCUGAAGCAAAUGGAGCGCACCAACAUCUUCCGCUGAGCUGAUAGCCUACCUGGAGGGCUCUCGACCUAUCUAUCGGGACCUGUGGGGAUGAAACGCAGUGUCCCCAGGAAAAGGGAUGUUAGUAUGAAAAAUGUACCGAGUAUGUAAGGCACAUAAAUAAGUACAUAACAAACAUGGAAGAAAUAUAGAAUAAUCGACUCAACUUGUAAGUCUGGAUAACUUUGUAAAUCAUAAAUUACUUUUAGCAUCAUGUAUAUGCGUAUGAAUGUCAUGUCAUGCAUAGGUAUAUGUUUCAUAACAUCAUCAGCCUCUAAGGUCAUCCCAUCAUAUCAUAUCGACCACUGUGGGCCAAAUCAUCAUCGUAUACCAAAUGAUCAGGUGGUGGUACGUAUAUAACUCCAUAACCUUUCCUAUAUCCCAUAUACAUAUAUAUACAUACAUAUAUACACUUAUAUAACGCCAUCUGUUCAUGGGUCAAUGUACAUUAAUGCAAUGGAUGAAAAGCGCAUUAAUAAAAUCUUUCGGAAUGUCAUAGGACCAUUUUGCCUUUGAGUAAUAUCAUAAAGUAAACUCUUUCCAACUUUCGUAUUUUUCUGAGACCCAUGAGCAGAUGAUAAUAUAUUAUGACACAUGGAAAUUCAAGAACAUAGAUAUCUCUAAUACUUCUAUGAAUAGAGUUAUUCAUGGAAUUUGCGCAUUUGCAUGUUUCGUUCAUAUUGUAUGGAUCAUGCCAAAAGAAAGAAGGGAUAGCCUUAAUAUACCUGGAAUAGGAAAAAAUACGUAUGAUAUUCUUGGAAAAAGGUUGCACUGUAUUCCCUUAGAAUAACAAAAUCUCACGUUACUAGUGUGCUAAGAAAUCUCGUGGGAUUUUGGUUGAAGAAUGAAAAUCUUCAUUGCCGCAACGAACUUAAUUUUCUAAAGAUUAAUUUGAAAUUGGUAAACAUUGAGUGAUUGUUGGCGGCUAAGAGUGACAGAGAGGGGUAAUCCCACAAACAACUUUCCACAACUCUCUAAAUCCAACAACCUCAAACUUAAACUAAGUUUGAGGUAAAGUGAUUGUUGUCAUUUUUUGGUUCUGAAAAUAUUAGAAGUGAAGAUUGUUGAACUAACAUAGUUUGCCACAUAGCCAAAAAUGACUACGAGUCAUUUUGGUUAAAACUUAGCUUGUCGCCACGUUGAAGGUAAGGUUUCUUGUACUUAUCUAAUUGUUUUACUUAAUUAAUAAUUUAUUAAUCUGCCACUAACCAAUAAUUAAUCAAUUGUCCAUGUAAUUAAAAAUUAUCCCAAAUUACUUAAAAUACUACUCAUUUUUAAUAUACCCUUAUACAUCAUACUAUUAUGAUCAUAUGGUACCUUAUAUGGUACUAGUCCAUAAAUACGGGAUAUUAACGCUCAGCCCGUAUUUUAUCCCAACAUGCCAAACUUGGACGAAAAUUAUUUCUUUGACUUUCUUCCCCUCUCACUUUCACGAAUUUACUCAUCACUUGUUUGAAAUAGCAUAAACCUUAUAAUCUCCAAAUAAUCUUUUCCUUGGACUGACGUCAAUUACCUUAUGACAAAUUCAACGUACAAUACUAUAGGGUGCAACAUCAUCGUAAUUUAAUACUUCAGGACGUAACAUCGACGAAAUAUUAUGGGGCGUAACAUCAUUCCCCUCUUUGGAAUAUUCGUCCUUAAAUGUUGACUGAUGCUCUUAUCAUUUUUAUAACUUAUAGCUCUUUUGAAUACCUUAAUACUCUCUUUGUCACUUAGGUAAUUGUUCUGUGAAUAAAUCCAAAGGCUAGGACAUUCCCCCUUUUAGGCCUCUUUCUCAUACCACGACUUAUGGUGAGGAUCUUUCCAAUCUCGUAGCUGUUGCUACCUUUUAUCAUGCAGUCUGUACGACUUUGAUCUUAUAAGUGCGCCUGUGCGAUUCUUCUCCUGUUUUUCCUCUAACUUUUGGCCAAUCUCUAGGCCUCACUUCGCAAAUAUAUACAAAGCUUGAUGAAGUGUCCCUAUGGGCAUUUGUAGGUAUACUAAAGUUUUUCUCUCGGUAUUUUGUUAAAAUUGCGAUUAUUGCUACAUCUUAUUUCAUAGAACCGGUUAUCUAACCGCGUAAUUUUUUCUGCAUCUAGGUAGAUAAUACUAUACCAUAACUCUUACUUCGAUUUAUCGUUGCUGAGAUCUGCUAUCAAAUUCCCGCUUACUCUUGUUGCUUAUCCAAUAUGUAUAAAUCAAAGUCUUUUAAUGCUUCCUCAUUACUAUUCAUUUUAAGAAUGAUGGCCUAAUCUUAUGUCAUACUUUGUAACUUGUAUUAGUCCAUUGUUGAUUGACCUUAAUUUUGAUCUAUAAUUUACUACUUGAUGACUUGAAUUCUUAUGUAAUACAUUGUUUCUAGGGCCCACGUCUUAUCGGGGACAUCUAGAGUAAUUAGAUUGAUCCACCUAGGGGUGAUACUAUAUUUCCAUAACUGUACUUAAUAGCAUCACAAUGUGACUCACCUUAUAUGGGUAUUUUAUUCCCUUACAAUUCGUGAAAUCCUCUUCAAGUCAUUAUUCAAUCAAAGUCCCAAAUGUCAUUCUUUAUUAUCCAUCAUAAUUACACCCUCAUUCUACUACCAGAGCAGCAUUCCAUUUAUUUUAAAUGCCAUUAGUCUUAGACUCCUUUGGGUUCAUUCAGGCUAUACUGAGCUUUGUAUAACUUAGAGAAACCAUCAUCACUGCUUGUUUUCAUGGGCUUAAUCGUGAGGACUUAUCCAUUCUCGUCACCUUCUUACUCGCCCUUUCUUAUCCUUAUUCCCGACUUUCUAAAACCUUAUCGCUUUACCAUACUUUAAUUUUCCACUUACACAUAUCCAUUUAUACUACUCACAAUCUCCCUUCAACUUGCUUGCACCAUAGACUUCCUUACGUUAUUUCUGAAACAUCGAGCGAGACAUCGCAUUGUCUCAAACUCUUUUUUUACUCUUGUAAUUUAGACCUUUUGGUACUUAGAAACCAUAGGUUGAAAGGUAUGCUACUGACGACGCUGCUAUCGUUCCUGUAUACUGAAUCCCCGCGCUUCUAGCCUCUUAUCCGCAAUAUGGACUAUUCAUAACCUUAUGUAUUUGAUUAUCUUGUAUGUUGUUCACCUUUUCCUUAAUUAACUUAAAAUAUUGCCUCACAUUCUUCUAUUUCUUCCAUAACCUUCCUUCCACAUAGGUAUAAUUUACCUCCAUAACCUGAAGCUCUAUUGUAAUACUUGCACCUCUGGUACAUACAUAAUCCGGUGGGAAGUUCGUAAUGGCUUCUUAUGAGUCUAGUACUUCUUCUAACUGGCUUCCUUGUAGAGCCAUUAUAGAUUAUGGUUGUUGUAUUAUUUUUCUUGAACAUCUGAUAUUAAGAGUGAUUCUGUCAUGUUCUAAAGCAUAAGUUCUAUAGUCCAAUAAUCAGACUCUCGAUUUACUUGGGUGUUGUAAUUCUUUAGUUUCUUCUUCCUUUUGAUCAGCCUUUACGUAGGCUUAAGCUAUCUUCUGAUCUGUGGCUCAUGGUAUCAGUUAUUACCUUAGCCUUUCAUGGGCAUUAUGGAAUAUCCAUGACACGAUCUUCUAACAAUUCAAUCAUUUGUCUAUGUCCUAGACUCAAUUCUUUAUUUUAACUUAUACCGGAGUCCUCUGUGGAUAUGUGAUUGUCAACAAAUAUGCUGCCUGGAUAAUGCUCCAAAAUCUUGAGUGCAUUCAUAACACAACUAACUCUAGAUCAUUGAUCGAAUAAUUCCUUCCGUUACUUCUCAGCUUUCUUUAAAUGUAAGCAAUUACUUUCUUUGGUCGUUCUGCCACUUGUUGCAUGAAUAUUUGGCUUAUCUUAGUGCCCGCAUAUUUUGAAAUUCCAUACAACCCAUAUGAUCUUGAAUAUUACUUUUAAUUCUUACUUCCCGUUCAUUAGCCACGGUAGGUGCCAUUUUCCUUUGGAAUGCUUACAAUGUUGUUGCGAGAUUGUUGCUACACGACCAUUUCCUCUUUAGGUCGUUGUGCUUAGGUUGAAGCCUUCUUUCUUAUCUCCUCAGCUAGUCUUUCAUUGUAGUACUUAGGGAGAACCCUUGACUCUCGUAAAACUGUGAGCUUAUUAUGGACCUUUUUGAUGUCCUUACUUGCCUAUAAUCAUCCGUAGUUGCUUACUUCCAUGCCCUUAUGCUUGUAUGGUUGCUUCUGAACUGAUAUUUUGACUGCCUUCCCAGUGGCACUUUCUUUUAUCCCCGUAACACUUAUACGGUACCUUUAACUACCCCGACUCUUGUUUCAAUAUAUCUCAAGUAUUAUAAUGAUAUUCUUCGAGGUUGAAUUCUCCAUGUUGGGUUCUACUAUGUUUAUCUUACAUGAUCUGAUGACUCGUCUGUAACCUCCUAUUUAGCCAUAACUGGGAUCUUCCUGACCAAUUACUAACUACUCGUUGGCCCAUUCAUAUAUCAAUAUUACUCGUAAUCUUUCUUUGUUUAUUUCCUUUGUCUUAACUUACGUCUCGCAUUGGUUCCUUAUUUAUUAAUAACAACAUGGGCAGGAACCUUUACUUCCUCUCCUUUACGUCGUGCUUUCACAACAUUUUUGAAUCGUAGCGUAUCUGUAAGAUUUGGAUAAGUGCCAUCUCAUUCCUCUUUCAUUUAUUGCAUUCUUCCUUUACCAUUCCAUAGUCACUAGAACCACUUAAUUCUGACUUAAUGUCACAUCACUCCAUAUUCCCCCUUUUAGGGGUGUACUAAGAGCUGAAGCCACGAGGAUCUUCAUAUAGAUUUUUUACCUCUUCAUCUUUGGCAUUGUUUUUCAACGUCAAUGAUCCUUACUCGCCUUGCGACAAUCCUUCUGUACUAAGGAUGACAAAUUCCCUUACUCGCGAGGUUGUCACUUAAUGUAACUGGUACAUACAGUCUCAUAAGCUUAACUUUGCUAACAUUGCUUGCUUUUAGGGAGGCGUCUUCCUGAAUGACCAUUCUCUGAAGUUUUCACGAAUCUUCUUCUAUUGCCCAUCCUAUUAUUGCCGGAACGCGAUAUGAAAUUCUCAUGAUACUGACUAUUAUCAAAUCACUCAAUCCCUAAUUCAUAUUUAGUUUAUCUUGUUCACCAGUCCAUAUUAAUUUCUAUUAAUCUGGGAUUUAACUUUUUUUCUCUUGUUAAUCGCGCUAGAGUUGCGAACUAAUUUCUUGAAAUGAGAAUCUGACUUUAAGGCCUAUAUUCUUUUAUUGUCUCAUGGCAUGUCAUCUUUUGUAUUUUCCUUCACUUGACUGUAAACUCUGUAAUAGUGUCAUCAUUUUUUUGACCUACCGUUAUCAUUCGUGUAUCACAUCUUACUCAUAAUGCUUCAUUAAAUCUCUUCUUAUCUCCCGCUAAUUAUCUAUUUCUACCACUUUACUCUAAAAACUCGAACAAAAUAUUCUUUUGCUUUUGGCUCCCCUUGCUUCAUCCCUUGGCUCUUUCAAUUGCCUAACAUUCUUUCUUUACUGCGGGCGGGAGAUACACUAAAGUAAUAUUUAUUGCUUCAAGGCUUCCAGUGCUCAUAUCUAGUUUUAAUAUUUUAGGGUGCACCAUCUAGGUGUCUCACAAGGAGAUCUAUUAGCACACUUGUUGUGACGACCCGGCCAGUCGUCUCAUGAAUUUCUGCUCCGUUUCCCCCAUUUCUGCUUCUUAUUACUUUGUUUAUCGGUUCUAUGUGUGAUCGGGUUGGUAGCUCGGGUUCGGAAAGGUUUUGGUAAGGUUUGAGACACUUAGUCUCUUUUGAGGGAGCUUAAGUUAGAAAAGUCAACCGGAUGUUGACUUAUUUGUUAAAGGGCUCGGAUGUGAGUUCUGAUGAUUCGGAUAGCUUCGGCAGGUGAUUUGGGACUUAGGAGCAUGAUCGGAAUGUGUUGAAAUUCCGAAGUAGAUUUAGGCUUGAAUUGGCGAAAUUGGAAUUUUGGCGUUUUCUGAUUGAUAAGUGAGAUUUUGAUAUAGGUCGGAAUAGAAUUCCGGAAGUUGCAGUAGCUCCGUUGUGUCAUUUGGAAUGUGUGUGCAAAAUUUCAGGUCAUUCGGACAUGGUUUGGUAGACUUUUGUUCAAAAGCGUAAUUCGGAAGAUUUUGGGAACCUUAGGCUUGAAUCCAAUGUGUUUUGGUUGAUACGAUGUUGUUUGACAUGUUUUGAAGAUUGGUAUAAGUUUGGAUAGUGGUAUAGGACUUGUUGGUGCUUUUGGUUGAGGUCCCGAGGGCCUUGGGAUGAUUUCGGAUGGUUGGCGGAAAGUUUGGAAUUUGAAAAUUGCAGCUAAAGUUUUUAGGACUGCUGUCAUAAUUGCAACUGCGGUUGGGAGGCUGCAGGUGCGACCUCCGCAGAUGCGGAGGACCAGUCACAGAAGCAGAAAGAGCCUAGGAAGGCAGGAACCGCAGAAGCAGUUGAGGAACCGCACCUGCGAUGGUGCGGGUACGGAUUAGGCAUCACAGAUGCGGAGAUUGAGGAUUUAAGUGAGUACCACAAAUGCGGUGUAUGGACCGCAAAAGCGGUAUCUGGACCGCAAGUGUGAAAAGCUUGGUCCAGAAGGUAUAAAAGCACCCCUUCAUGAUGUUUGAGUUGUUCUUCACAAUUUCAAGUCGAUGUUGGAGCUUUUUGGGAGAUUUUGAAGAGGGAAUCAAGGGAUAUCGUCUGGAGAUAAGAUUUUUGAGUCUAAUAAUCGAUCCUAUGGAAUUAUUUCACUGAUUUAGCCUAAGAUUAAUGGAAAUUAAGGGUUAAAAUUUGGGAAACUAGGUCUUGGUAUUGGAGAUCUUGGCUCGAGGAUUUGAGGGGCCAUUUGUGGUUGGAUUUUCGGACUUUUGAUAUGUAUGAACUCGUGGGAAGAUAAGGAAUCUAUUGAUGUAAAUUUUAUCUAAUUCCGAGACGUGGGCCCGGGGGUCGCGUUUUGGUUAAUUUCGGGAUUUAUGUUGUAAAUUGAUUAUUUUUGCAUGGGCUUCGUUUCCUUAGCAUAUUUUGACGUUGUGAUUCUGAUUUUGGAUAAAUUCAAUGCGAGUUGAGGCCGAUUCGAGGGGCAAAGGCGUCGCGGGCUGGAGUUUUGACUGGAUUGAGGUGAGUAAUGAUUUUAAAUGUUGUCAUGAGGGUAUGAAACCCCAGAUUACACAUCGUUGUGCUAUAAUGAGGUGACACACGUGCUAGAUGACGAGCAUGGGGUCGUACACCGUUGGAGAUUGUGACUUAGUCCGUCCCGAAUGACUGUUUUACCGCGUAUUUGAUUGAAAAUUGUUUGCUAUUAUCAUGUUUUGGGCGAAAUGCCAUAUUUGGGCCUUGUGCCAACUAUUUGGGCCCUUAGGGGAUUUUUACUGAUAUUUUCUCACUGUUUUGACUUUAUACUUGUACUCAGCCAUGUUUACUCUAUUUUAAUACAUUAAAUGAUAUUUUAAAUGAUAAUUUAGGCUGAGCAUCAUGUUUUAUUGUUGCCCAAGUGGCUUAUGAUAUUCUGACUGAGUAAGGCCGGGGGCCUGUGUUGCGAGGAUACACUGAUUUAUGAUUAUGAGGCUGAGGGCCUGCGUUGUACGCCACGAGGUGGCUUGAUAUGAGACUGAGAGCCUAUUGAUUAUACCACGAGAUGGCUUGAUAUCGCGCUGGGCCGUAAGGGGUCCCUCCCGGAGUCUGCACACCCCCAGUGAGCGCGAGUACCCAUUAUGAUAUGCGUAUAUAACACCAUCUGGUCACGGGUCAAUGUACAUGAAUGCAAUGCAUGAAAAGUACGUUAAUAAAAUCUUUCGGAAUGUCGUAAGACCAUUUUGACUUUGAGUAAUAUCAUAAAGUAAACUCUUUUCAAUUUUUGUAUUUUUUUGAGACCCAUGAACAGAUGAUAAUAUAUUAUGACACAUAGAAAUUCAAGAACAUAGAUAUCUCUAAUACUUCUAUGAAUAGAGUUUGUCACACCUCUUUUUUACACACCCGAAAGUAUAGAUAGGGAGUUUUCCCAAUUUAAGUGACAUUAUUCGAAAUGAGACUAUUUAAUUUAUUUCAGAUUCGCCACUUGGGAUAUUUAUUAUGGUGUCCCAAGUCACCGGUUUAUUUUAAGUCCCAAAUCGAGGAAAUUCAACUUUCCUUUGGAAGUCUGCGAACCAGAAAUUCUAAGUAAGGAAUUCUGUUAACCCGGGAGAAGGUGUUAGGCAUUCUCGGGUUCCGUGGUUCUAGCACGGUCGCUUAAACUAUUAUAAUUGGCCUAUUAUCUGAUUACAAUACAUGUUUUAGCCUAUGGUUCAAUUUCCUUAUUAACCGCUUUUAAUAAUUAUUGUUACAUAUUGUAAUCAUGUCACGGGAACCGUACCCACGAUCUGCAAUAUAUUUAGUUUUUAAAGAUUAAAUUGUGGUCGGGUCACAUAAAUGCACCCCGAGUUUUAGUAAUUAGGCGUCACAACUACGUCACGGGAACCGUACCCGUAGCUAUGACAAUUAAUCAAUUAACGUGCUUAAAGCAACUAAGAAAUUUCAGGCAAUUUCUAUACUAAUUUUUAUUUAUAUGAGGGCCAUAAAUUAUAGGAUUUUAUUUGUAUAUGGCACACCCCAAUUUAUUUGAUCUAAAUUUGUGAGGGCCAAGUAUUAUAGAUUUAAAGCAUGGCACACCUCAAGUUAUUCUUUAAAAAAAAAUUUAUAUUUUAAAGGCAAACUAAAGGUGCUCUCGUUUUUUACUAAUUUAAAAACUAGCUAUCACAACCACGUCACGGGAACCGUACCCGUAGUCGUAAAAUUUUUAAAAUCGCGCCUAAAACAAGCCACGAGUAUAAUGAUGCUAAACAACAAAGGUAAUGAACUAACAAUAUUGUUGCGAGACAGUUUGUUAACCUUUUCAUAGCAGAAACUCAAACUCCUACAAUAAGCAUGUUAUCAGAUACCUAUUUGAAGUGAAACAACGUUCUUUUGUAGAGAAAGUUAACAAUUAAUUGUAGUGGAAAUUGUAAUGUUUCAAAAUAAUGAUAAUAUCCCAACUCCCAUGCAUCAAAUCCAAGUGCUAAUGGAUAAGUAAUUUCUUACAAAGGUAAAGGACGGGUACAUUAUACCUAUAUGUCUAAAGAUCAACAGAUUUCCAAUGUCAAAUUUACCACUCACGUAUGCUAAUUUUACCUAAGAGCCGCAGGUCUCUUAAUUUGAGUUUACCAACAAAGACCAACUCUUGAGCCAACAACAACAAAGUUUAUAUAAACACACAUAGGCCAUUUAAUGAACUAAGUGACUAAGUAAUUAGAAAAGUCACAUAAUAUUAAGCUAAAUGAAAACAAGGGAAAUGAAUUUCUUAUCACUUCAAUUCAAUACAUGUCAAAUGAUGAGUAUAAAACAGUAAGCACCUAAAGUUAAUUUAAAAUAAAACUUUGAUUCAUGAGCUUCAAUUAAGUGACAACAAACUUAACGCCUCAAUCAUACUUCACUUUUGAUAAACGAGAAGGAACCAGUAAUUGAAAAUUGUAAAUGAGGAUAUUAAGUAAGAACACCAAGGUUUGUAUUUCAGUUACCCAUUUUCACAAUCAAAUUCACAAAACUUAACUUAUAGGCGAUCAAAGUCAGAGUUGAUUCGAAGAGCUCCAAACACAUUUUAAGACACACAGUUAAAUUAUGGACACUAACAGAUCUUUUUCGAUAACAAAUUAGGACAACUUCAAGCAAUAAAUCAGUCGUAAUUAAAGCAAGAAAAUUAAUCAAAUAAGUUAUAUAGUCAUGUUUAAAACUCAAAGCAGUCAAAUACCAAGUCAGUGAUCCCAAAAUCAAAUUAGAUUUGCAACCCAAUGUGUCUGAACCAAACAAAUCCAGAAUCGUAAAUGUUCAAUCUUAGAAGUAAAACCAACACACUUAGCGGGAAGAGAUGCAAACUGAAUAAACUUAAACGGAUAUCAAGAACGAACCUGUUAAGUAUGCUUUCUUUAUAGCAAUUAUAGAAUCGACAAAUACACUGUUUUCUUGACUCCAAAAUUCCAACGAGAUUCAACAACUGUAUCCAGUAGAAUUUGCAAGCCAAAUCGAAAUUUUGAAAGACCACUUUGGACAGAAUCAACAGAGUGCAAAAAAUUCAAAACUCCAUCCCCAAUAUUCAACUUGAGGAUUUAAACCAAACUUCCUUUCUAAAAAAAAAGAACAGAAAUCAAGAGAAAAGAAAACAAGGCUAGAAGAAAUAUGUUUCAGCAAUCUUUUUUUUUUUUGAUUUUUUCUCUUAAAAACCAAAACAAAUCUAGAAUGAAAACUAAAUUCAAGCCAUAUAAGACUUACCUCAUAUAUAUAGACUUCAAAAACUUCAAAAAAUCUGCCCAAAAUCCGAAAAUCCCUCGAGUUGUUUUGAACAAUUUUGGAACAAAUAGAGGGCGUGGAUUGAUUCACAUCUAUCCACGGCUCCCAUUCAUCCAACAAUUGUCGUCUUUAUACAUAAAUCCACGAUUUUGAGUGAAUAUUCGUACUCCUCUCUGACAAAUCCAUUGGGAAAUAGAGGUGACAUGGAGAGGAGGGGACCAAUGAGUGAACUCGGGUGAUCUUCAGGCGAGUUGGGUUGGGCUCAGUGAAGAAGAUGAAUAGUAGCGCCGUUUCUCUGAUUUCUAUAGGGUUUAGGAAUUUGGGGGAAAUGUUUGAGAGGGAUUAUAUAUUGAGGGAAAUGGGGCGGGUCGGUUUGGCGGGUUAGCUCGAUUUGGGUUGGGGCUGUAGGGAAAUAUUUGGGCUGGGGGAAUUAAACUAAGGAUGGCCCAAAUCAAUUCUUUUCUAA
rnacentral:lncRNA from 1 species